UGGGGUCUUCUGGACUCUGGAUGGCUGGAGGCUCUGGAUUGACCCAACCUCUUCAUGCCACAG
ensembl:miRNA